rnacentral:misc_RNA from 1 species
GAUGAAGAACGUAGCGAAAUGCGAUAAGUAAUGUGAAUUGCAGAAUUCAGUGAAUCAUCGAAUCUUUGAACGCACAUUGCGCCCCUUGGUAUUCCGAGGGGCAUGCCUGUUCGAGCGUCAUUAUAACGCCUCAAGCUCAGCUUGGUGUUGGGGCCUGCCGCACGAGCAGCCCUUAAAAUCAGUGGCGGUGCCAUCUGGCUCUAAGCGUAGUAAUUCUUCUCGCUAUAGAGUCCCGGUGGAUGCUUGCCAUUAACCCCCAAUUUUCUAUGGUUGACCUCGGAUCAGGUAGGGAUACCCGCUGAACUUAAGCAUAUCAAUAAGCGGAGGA